rnacentral:rRNA from 1 species
UGGAUCUAGACUUUGAUCCUGGCUCAGGAUGAACGCUAGCGGCAGGCUUAACACAUGCAAGUCGAGGGGCAGCGCGGAAGUAGCAAUACUUCUGGCGGCGACCGGCAGAAGGGUGCGUAACACGUGAGCAACCUGCCCGUGACAGGGGGAUAACCGACGGAAACGUCGCCUAAUACCCCGUAACAACAUAGGAGGCAUCUCCAGUGUUUGAAAGACACGUCAGUCACGGAUGGGCUCGCGGUACAUUAGCUAGUUGGCGGGGUAACGGCCCACCAAGGCGACGAUGUAUAGGGGUUCUGAGAGGAAGGUCCCCCACACUGGAACUGAGACACGGUCCAGACUCCUACGGGAGGCAGCAGUGAGGAAUAUUGGACAAUGGAGGCAACUCUGAUCCAGCCAUGCCGCGUGAAGGAAUAAGGCCCUAUGGGUCGUAAACUUCUUUUGACGCAGAGCAAUAAGGACUACGCGUAGUCUGAUGAGAGUAUGCGUCGAAUAAGCAUCGGCUAACUCCGUGCCAGCAGCCGCGGUAAUACGGAGGAUGCGAGCGUUAUCCGGAUUUAUUGGGUUUAAAGGGUGCGUAGGCUGAAGAUCAAGUCAGCGGUGAAAUGUCCCGGCUCAACCGGGGCCUUGCCGUUGAAACUGGUCAUCUGGAAUGCGGAUGCCGUGGGAGGAAUGUGUGGUGUAGCGGUGAAAUGCAUAGAUAUCACACAGAACACCGAUUGCGAAGGCAUCUCACGAAUCCGCGAUUGACGCUGAGGCACGAAAGCGUGGGGAUCAAACUAGGAUUAGAUACCCUGGUAGUCCACGCAGUAAACGAUGAUGACUAACUGCCGGCGAUA